rnacentral:tmRNA from 2 species
AAGGUUGACGAAUGCGAUAUCCAUCGCCAUUUUGAAAGCGCCAUUUCGAUGGCUAUGGCAGUAAAUUGUUGAAUGAAAUAGGUAUUGCGGACCCGGAGGGCGGUACUCCGGCGCCUCCACCACAACCUUCGCUAGACGAGGGUUCUGACGGGGGCGAAAUUAGGUUCGACGUGAUACGAUAAAGAUUCGACUGCUUCCCGGGCUGAGUAACCCGUAAAACUGUUCACAACACACAAGUGCCAACGAUAACGAAGCACUCGCUCUCGCAGCGUAAUGUGAUGGGCUAACGCCCUGAAGUUACAAAGCUAAAGCGCGGUUGGACCCACCGGGCAACAGAAGCGGAUUCCG